AAUUCCUGUUUUUACCUUCCACUGGAAAAAGGUCAUGCAGAGCCCCAUCCAGCCCCGCCCACCCCCCUCUCCACCAAUCCCUUCAGCUCAGGCUCACAGUGUCACGGCAGGUACGUCUGUCCACCCAGACAGAACGGCGUGAUUCUCAGCAUGCCGCAGUGGUGCUUGCUGGGUGAUGGUUCCCUCCCACCCUGCUGUUUGAUCUCUGUAGAGGCCGGAGAAGCUCAGUCUAGCUGUUGUAGCUUCUCCAGGACCUCCAGAGCCGAGUGCCUUCACGCUGAAGGGUGCAUGCAUGCAGUGUGCUGGAGAUGGAUAUGGGCUACGCCGAGCUUGAGCUGACUGUUUUUUUUUUUUUAAUCAUUCCUGUAGAUAUGUUAUAGGAAAAUGGCAUCAUGUGAGCAUUGUCUCGCCUUAGUUUUCAGAGUAAAUCAGUCAGUAGCCCCUACAGUGCCCUGCAUGUUUUGGAUGAGUCUCUGCUUCAGCAAAACUGAUUGAAAUGAAUAAAGUACCUCAGCAAGUCAUCAAGUUCUGAAGUGACCUGGUAAUGACCCACUGGUUUGACUGGAGUCAUGUUACAACCACAGACUUUAACAGAAAGUCAUUUUGAGUGGUAGACAAACACUAAGUAGUGCAUGCAGUGGGAAUUUUCAUUGUUUUGAAAAUCUUUUGCAAAUAUAAAUCUAAAGGUGUGCUCACUAGAAACUAGAGGCUUAGUUUGUACUCAUUGUUCUUUGCAAAAUAGCUCAUUACAGUCAUGGAUGGAUUCAGAGCAGGACUUUGUUUGAAGAGUUCAUUCUAAUAUAGAAAAAGGCUUUGAUUUUAUCUAGUAACUCUGUGCCCUUAGUGCCACUUUCCUGCAGCUUUUGGACGCUUUCCUGCUCCAACACACCUGAACCAAACACUGAAUUACCACCUCGGUACAUCAGCAAAUUUUGCAAAUGCAAAAGUAACCUAUUCAUUUGAUUCUGUGGAUUCUAAUCAUGCAUUACUCUCCUUUGUACUUCCAACAUUUCAACAGUUUGUCAGCUACUCUUUCAGAUAAAACAAGACAUUGGAUACUUUUCCAAAGCAAGACCUCCUCUGGAAAAAGCUGAUCACAAUAUCAUUUUUCUCUGCUCAGCAUAUAAACUCCUAGUUCGUAGGCAUCCUGUAAAGAAAGGCUAGAAGAUGGUCGCAGGAAGCUGAAGAGGCGACAGAAUGAAAUGCUCUGUGCCAGCCACAUUAACAGUAACUUCCAUGACUGAGUGUGUUACUGUUAGGUUUUAUUUGCAAAAGAAAUUGAACUGUUUGUUGUUCUCAUUCCACGUAUAUGCGCUACUUUGGGUCGGUAUACCAGAUAAACACCCAGUAAAUACAUUGUAUGAUUGUAAUUUGACAAAAAGGACGAACAUCAUAGUUCUGAUUGUGCCAUCAGUUCAGUCAAAUAGAAUUUCUUUUUUUUUUUUUUUUUGUGGUGUUUCUUUGGAAUCUCUCCCAAACAGAGAUGAAUGGUGAAGUGGUUAAAAGGACAAAGCCAACUUCACACUUUUCACGGUCUGCCUUUGGAAUACCUCAGCAGUCUCGUAAUCAGCCCUGAGUUCAAAAUGAAGCUGCUGACAAAAUACCAGACGAUUGACAAAUAUAAAAAACAUAAUGCUGGUCUUUGGUUUAUAUAGUUUUUUGUGUAUAAAAUCUCAUUUACAAGGACUUCUCCAGAUGACAUCUGGUUGGUGUUUGUUCUGCAGUCAGAAUUUAACUUUAACAUUACCCAGAUUGCAAGCAAUGGUAAUUCAACUUUGAAUUAUGGUAAAAAAAAGGUUGAUUUUUGGUUAUUGUCAACGGUGGAACAACCAUCAAACAAUUAUCCUAUUCUAGCCACGUAACCAAUGUUGAAGAAUUGUCACUGAGUCAAUGUUGUUUUGUGAUUGAAUUCUAAUGAUUCAAAUGCCAACAUCUGAUCAAUGUUAAAUCAAUGUAAUGACGUUUAUGACGUUUUAAACUGUUAAGGACAGUGGGUUGUGAUUCCUUUCUGUACAUUUUCUUACUUGUCUGUAAAUAUUACUGACUGUUUGUGCGUAAUGUGUUGACAAAAACAUCUACAAGUCACUUCAAGCAGUGGAGUGGUCCACCCCCUCCAACUCACCUUUUUACAUGAGUGGUAUGGCCCAACUACACGACCCUUUGCUGCUGGCUUGUUUGCAACCUGCUUCUGAAUUGAAUUCUACUCUGAGCACUUUUGCACUGCUGCUCGGUAGUUUGGCCCAAAGCUGACUGACAAGGACUAUAGCGAAACUGUCAAGAAGUGGCUUUGUUACGCAACAGAGAGGGAGGAAGGCAUCAAGAAACCAGUGUGAUGCCAACCAAAGUCAAACUUGGGUUACCCCAACACAUAAUGUUUCCCUGGUUCAUACAGCACAAGGCUUAACCUCAUGGACGCUGUUCUUCUAUGGACAAUAGACUGUUGUUCAAAAAGGAAUCAAAUAUUUUUACAGAUCUAUACGUGUUUUCUUAAUAAAAUGAAAUAUUAAUGCCAUCUUGUUAUUUUUAAGCUUGUGUACACACAUUUUUGGAAAUAUGUUAAUGUAAGAUAAUUUUGAAUGACAUAAUACUUAUUGUCUGUCAACAACAUUGUGUAUUUAACACCUGUGAAAAAACUUGUAAUGGUAUGUGAUGAUGUAGACCUAUCAGACCAAAAAAUAUACAAGACUCAAUAUUGAUUCCUUAACUUUGAUUCGAUGUAAAA